AGCGAACGCUGGCGGCAGGCCUAACACAUGCAAGUCGAGCGCCGUAGCAAUACGGAGCGGCAGACGGGAGAGUAACACGUGGGAACGUACCCUUUGGUUCGGAACAACCCAGGGAAACUUGGGCUAAUACCGGAUAAGCCCUCCGGGGGAAAGAUUCAUCGCCGAAGGAUCGGCCCGCGUCUGAUUAGCUAGUUGGUGGGGUAAUGGCCCACCAAGGCGACGAUCAGUAGCUGGUCUGAGAGGAUGAUCAGCCUCACUGGGACUGUGACACGGCCCAGACUCCUACGGGAGGCAGCAGUGGGGAAUAUUGGACAAUGGGCGCAAGCCUGAUCCAGCCAUGCCGCGUGGGUGAUGAAGGCCCUAGGGUUGUACAGCCCUUUCGGCGGGGAAGAUAAUGACGGUACCCGCAGAAGAAGCCCCGGCUAACUUCGUGCCAGCCGCCGCGGUAA
rnacentral:rRNA from 1 species